rnacentral:rRNA from 1 species
UCGAACGCUUGUCGGGCUUCGGUCCGGCAAGAGUGGCGCACGGGUGAGUUGCGCGUGGGAACCUGCCCUGUUGUGGGGGAUAACCGAGGGAAACUUCGGCUAAUACCGCAUAAGCCGGUUGUCUUGAACGAGAUGGCCGGGAAAGAUUUAUCGCGACAGGAGGGGCCCGCGUCGGAUUAGGUAGUUGGUGGGGUAACGGCCCACCAAGCCUUUGAUCCGUAGCUGGUCUGAGAGGAUGAUCAGCCACACUGGGACUGAGACACGGCCCAGACUCCUACGGGAGGCAGCAGUGGGGAAUAUUGGACAAUGGGCGCAAGCCUGAUCCAGCAAUGCCGCGUGAGUGAUGAAGGCCUUAGGGUUGUAAAGCUCUUUCGCCCGCGACGAUGAUGACGGUAGCGGGAGAAGAAGCCCCGGCUAACUUCGUGCCAGCAGCCGCGGUAAUACGAAGGGGGCGAGCGUUGUUCGGAAUCACUGGGCGUAAAGGGCGCGUAGGCGGCCCCUCUAGUCGCGUGUGAAAGCCCCGGGCUCAACCUGGGAACGGCGCGCGAAACGGGAGGGCUGGAGUUCGGGAGAGGAGAGUGGAAUUCCCAGUGUAGAGGUGAAAUUCGUAGAUAUUGGGAAGAACACCGGUGGCGAAGGCGGCUCUCUGGACCGAGACUGACGCUGAGGCGCGAAAGCGUUGGGAGCAAACAGGAUUAGAUACCCUGGUAGUCCACGCCGUAAACGAUGUGUGCUAGACGUUGGGGAGCCUAGCUCUUCGGUGUCGCCGCA